GGAGGGUGCAAGCGUUAUCCGGAAUCAUUGGGUUUAAAGGGUCCGUAGGCGGGCAUAUAAGUCAGUGGUGAAAGUCUGUGGCUUAACCGUAGAAUUGCCAUUGAUACUGUAUGUCUUGAAUUAUUGUGAAGUGGUUAGAAUAUGUAGUGUAGCGGUGAAAUGCUUAGAGAUUACAUAGAAUACCGAUUGCGAAGGCAGAUCACUAACAAUAUAUUGACGCUGAUGGACGAAAGCGUAGGUAGCGAACAGGAUUAGAUACCCUGGUAGUCUACGCCCGUAAACGAUGGAUACUAGUUGUUUGGUUUUCGGACUGAGUGACUAAGCGAAAGUGAUAGGUAUCCCCACCUGGGAGUACGUUCGCAAGAAUG
rnacentral:rRNA from 1 species